GCGCGGGCCCGGCGCUCCCUAAGGCGGCGGCGGCGGCUCCGGCGGCUCCUUUGUUCCCCCUGCCGGCACCGGGCUCCGGAUCGCGUCGGGAUCGGGCCGGGAUGAGCCUCGGGAACGGCUCCGGGAAAGGCUCCGGCUCCGCUUGAUGUUAGGAGCUCGUCCCUGUGAGGCAUCGAGGACUACCAUGCCCUUAGGUGCCGUUCCCAGCCCCUGAUGUGACAUGGCCACCCCGGAGCCCCCCCUGGGCGGGACCC